rnacentral:rRNA from 1 species
GAUGAACGCUGGCGGCGUGCCUAAUACAUGCAAGUCGAGCGAACAGACGAGGAGCUUGCUCCUCUGACGUUAGCGGCGGACGGGUGAGUAACACGUGGAUAACCUACCUAUAAGACUGGGAUAACUUCGGGAAACCGGAGCUAAUACCGGAUAAUAUAUUGAACCGCAUGGUUCAAUAGUGAAAGACGGUUUUGCUGUCACUUAUAGAUGGAUCCGCGCCGCAUUAGCUAGUUGGUAAGGUAAAGGCUUACCAAGGCAACGAUGCGUAGCCGACCUGAGAGGGUGAUCGGCCACACUGGAGCGGAGACACGGUCCAGAGUCCUGCGGGGGGCAGCAGUAGGGAAUCUUCCGCAAUGGGCGAAAGCCUGACGGAGCAACGCCGCGUGAGUUAUGAAGGUCUUCGGAUCGUAAAACUCUGUUAUUAGGGAAGAACAAAUGUGUAAGUAACUAUGCACGUCUUGACGGUACCUAAUCAGAAAGCCACGGCUAACUACGUG